UGGCCACAGCAAGGUGAUUGAUAGAAAGAAAUUUUCAUUAGUAUUAUGAUUUGGACUUGAGCUAAUCAAAUUUUUUAUAUGAUGGAUGUUGGAGUUUGACGAGUUUUCAUAACCUUUAUCGUGUCGGAACUCAUGAUAGAGGAACUGAAUCACAUAGUAACUACACCUAAGAGUUUUAAUUAUUCUAUUCUAUUGGAUUG
rnacentral:lncRNA from 1 species